UCUGGGCAGUCUUUUAAGUUCUCAGUGUUGGAGAUUUGUGACCGAAUUAAGGAAGAAUUCCAGUUCCUCCAGGCUCAGUAUCACAGCCUGAAGUUGGAAUGUGAGAAAUUAGCAAGCGAAAAAACCGAGAUGCAGAGGCAUUAUGUUAUGUAUUACGAGAUGUCGUACGGCUUGAAUAUUGAAAUGCAUAAGCAGGUAUGUUUUGCAGGC